rnacentral:rRNA from 1 species
UACGGAGGGAGCUAGCGUUGUUCGGAAUUACUGGGCGUAAAGCGCACGUAGGCGGCUAUUCAAGUCGGGGGUGAAAGCCCGGGGCUCAACCCCGGAAUUGCCCUCGAAACUAGAUAGCUAGAAUCUUGGAGAGGCGAGUGGAAUUCCGAGUGUAGAGGUGAAAUUCGUAGAUAUUCGGAAGAACACCAGUGGCGAAGGCGACUCGCUAGACAAGUAUUGACGCUGAGGUGCGAAAGCGUGGGGAGCAAACAGG